rnacentral:ncRNA from 2 species
AUGUUAUCAAGAAAGGUGGAGGGAAUAGACCCUGUGAAACCUUGGCAACCCUUCCUUAACGGAAGAAGGUGCUAAAUUCUACCAAAGUUUUUUGGAUAGAUAACAU